rnacentral:rRNA from 1 species
GAUGAACGCUGGCGGCGUGCCUAAUACAUGCAAGUCGAGCGAACGGACGAGAAGCUUGCUUCUCUGAUGUUAGCGGCGGACGGGUGAGUAACACGUGGAUAACCUACCUAUAAGACUGGGAUAGCUUCGGGAAACCGGAGCUAAUACCGGAUAAUAUUUUGAACCGCAUGGUUCAAAAGUGAAAGACGGUCUUGCUGUCACUUAUAGAUGGAUCCGCGCUGCAUUAGCUAGUUGGUAAGGUAACGGCUUACCAAGGCAACGAUGCAUAGCCGACCUGAGAGGGUGAUCGGCCACACUGGAACUGAGACACGGUCCAGACUCCUACGGGAGGCAGCAGUAGGGAAUCUUCCGCAAUGGGCGAAAGCCUGACGGAGCAACGCCGCGUGAGUGAUGAAGGUCUUCGGAUCGUAAAACUCUGUUAUUAGGGAAGAACAUAUGUGUAAGUACUGUGCACAUCUUGACGGUACCUAAUCAGAAAGCCACGGCUAACUACGUG